CAAUAACAUAAAACCAAAUGGGAGGGGUUCACAUGACAAGGUAUUUGGAUCUAUGCAUGUAAAGCAAAACCAUUACGUAUCAUAGGAAUUGUUGUACAAUAACUCGUUAUUCUACAUUUUUAAAAUGAGGAACACAGCAAACAAACAACCAAAGAAGAUAAAACUUUUAUUUGUCCACUUUUAAGAAUCGGAGAGCCGGGGAGUCUCCAACACAUUGCCCCAGAUGUUUUCAAAUUGAGCUUUUUUUUUUAAAUCUUCUGCCAAGCUUUUUUCAAUGUUUAAAUAAUAAAGCACUAACUUUUUCCAUUGCUGGAUUUUAGGAACUGAGCUUGACUUCCAGUUUUGAAGGAUUAGCAUAUUUUGAACAAUUGAAGAUAACAUCACUCUCCAGCCAAAAAGGAUACCUCAGGUUAAAGUCAUAAAUUGAACCGUGGAGCAUGCAGAAGGAGGGGGUCAAAUAUACAGUAGUCUGUAAAGUGGAGGACAGCCAACUCUCCAACUCACUCCGCAUUUAUGAUACGAUAGAGGUAGAAGCCUUGAGAGGAGAGAAGGUAAAGUUCGAGACUGGAAGGUUUAAUCCAUGUUUUGAUCUUGAGGAGUGAACUUAUUACUUCACAGCUAUCAAGUUUCGCCAGAAAAGCGAUGCAAAUGAGUAAAGCUCAAAAGAAAAACAAAUGCUUUCAUCUGUCAGUAUGCAGUAAGGAGCUGAGCUUGACUUCCAGUUUUGAAGGAUUAGCAUAUUUUGAACAAUUGAAGAUAACAUCACUCUCCAGCCAAAAAGGAUACCUCAGGUUAAAGUCAUAAAUUGAAUCGUGGAGCAGGCAGAAGGAGGGGCUCAAAUGUACAGUAGUCUGUAAAGUGGAGGACUGCCAACUCUCCAACUCACUCCGCAGUCCCCUAAUCUUCCAACAAUCCCAGGAAUGUAUCAAUGAGUCUGUUUGUAUUUUAUAUUUUUAUCCGGGAUGCUAUUGUUAAAUUUGUUUAAAACGUUCCGGGUGUAAAAAAGUCUAGUUUAUAUUUGUAGAUUUUCAUUAGAGAUGUCUAACGUUUGUACCCAGCAUGCUUUCCAGUUUAGAGCUACAUUAUCUAGACCAAGAUCCAAAUUCCAUCUGUCAUGCAUUUUGUUUAAAGAGGAGCUGUAACAAGAUGAGUUGAACAGAGUAUUAUAAAGUGUGCCUGUAAGAUGUGUGCUUAGAUUUGGAUUAAAUAGUAUGAGUUCAACAUCACUACUGUCAAUAAUGAUUUCUGUUGAAAAAUUAUGUGUCAUAAAGUUUUUAAUCUGCAGCAAUCUAAAUGAUUCAAAAUCAGUUAGGCAGAAUUUAUCUUUAAAUUGAGAAAAUGUCAAAAUCAUUUACCUGAUUUAUACUAGUAGAUCUCCAAAAAGGCCAGGAAAAGGAACUAUCUUGGACCUUGAUCCAGGGAUUAUUCCAAAGUUGUGUAUAUUUGGUAAUUGUAAUUGUAAAAGAUUAUUUUAAGAAAGCUUUCAUUUUAAACCAAGAUCGAAUUAUAUUAUC